UGCCAGUAGUCAUAUGCUUGUCUCAAAGACUAAGCCAUGCAUGUCUAAGUAUAAAUGUUAUACAGUGAAACUGCGAAUGGCUCAUUAAAACAGUUAUAGUUUAUUUGAUAAUCGAAUUUACAUGGAUAACCGUGGUAAUUCUAGAACUAAUACAUGCUGGUUAGCCUGACUUCGAGGAAGGGCUGUAUUUAUUAGAUAACAAACCAAUAUUCCCCGUGUCUAUUGUGAUGACUCAUAAUAACUGAUCGAAUCGCAUGGACUUUGUCCGCGAUACAUCAUUCAAGUUUCUGCCCCAUCAGCUUUCGAUGGUAGUGUAUUGGACUACCAUGGCUUUAACGGGUAACGGAGGAUUAGGGUUCGAUUCCGGAGAGGGAGCCUGAGAAACGGCUACCACAUCUAAGGAAGGCAGCAGGCGCGUAAAUUACCCAAUCCUGACUCAGGGAGGUAGUGACAAGAAAUAACGGACCGAGGCAUCUGCUUCGGGAUUGCAAUGAGUAGAAUUUAAACCCCUUUACGAGGAUCAAUUGGAGGACAAGUCUGGU
rnacentral:rRNA from 1 species